CACCGCGGCUAUACGAGAGGCCCUAGUUGAUAGGCGUACGGCGUAAAGAGUGGUUAGGGUAAACUUUAAACUAGGGCCGAACACCAUCAAAGCUGUUAUACGCACCCGAUAGUAUGAAAAACUCCCACGAAAGUGGCCCUAAUAUAAAGCCUGAAUCCACGAAAGCUAUAAAA
rnacentral:rRNA from 1 species